AAUCAGCGGGGAAAGACGACCCUGUUGAGCUUGACUCUAGUCUGGCGCUGUGAAGAGACAUGAGAGGUGUAGGAUAAGUGGGAGGCCCCGCGGUCGCGCGACCCGCGCCGCGGCUCCGGCCGGC
rnacentral:ncRNA from 1 species